AUGGAUGCUGCUUUAACAUUUCAGGUUCAGAAUUCAGAUUUGUGUUGGUGUUGUUUACCCAUUGUUCAGAAUUCAGGUAUUGGGUUUACGGAUGGAAGGGAGUCGCCAUUGUUUGUGGCAAUGGGUGCUGUAUCAGAAUUGUUGGAGGAUAUAUGGUACAUUCAUAGUUUCAUACAGAUGAUACUUAGUAUACUUGUUGUAUUGGGCUCAAGGUUUUCUUUGCGGUAUACGUAUUUCAGGAGUUCAAAGUUCAGGAAUUCUUUCUGUUCACUAAUAUAUACUUUUUUAUAUAUGCACAAGUUUCUGAAAUCUGCGCUCGCUUGUUUGGUACUAGGCGCUUGGCCGCAAGAAUGGCAAGUUACAACGUUUCAAGUUCAUUCUGUCGCCUUGUUGCGUUUCCUCUGCUUAGCAUGUCUACGGAUGAAAGGCGAAUCGCCAUUGUUGUAG
rnacentral:rRNA from 1 species